UUUUUCAGGCAAUAGAGAGACUGCAUGUAAAUCAACUUGUAAAUGAAAAAUGUAUGGAAAGUUUGGAGUAUGCCAUGAGUCGGUUACAGAGUGCUGGAGAGAAAAACAUCCAUCAUGCAUUGCUGGUUGUCAACAGCAAACUGUUAUCCCUCUACUCAAACCAGACGACAGUGGGUCUACUACGGAGGAAAUGAAAUCGCCUGCUUCCAUUACAGUAACGCCACCUCUUGAGAGAUAUGAAAGCGCUGUAGAGGGAGACGACUCAUUGGAUGAAGAAAAUUACCUAAGUGCAACAGAAACUAUCACUAAAACAAAAUUGCCAGAGAGCCCUUAUCCUGCUGUCUCAGAACAUGUCACUGAGGAGGAGACACCCACAGCAGAGCCUAAGGGGACCGACAUAAUGGGGGAGGGAUUCGCUACCCCCGAUUCUGCCUCCCCUGUCACAGACAUCCAUAAGCUGAUAAAAGACAAUACGGGGAGACUGACACCUGUGGGUAGAAGUCGUAGUCGGACCUUUGAUGGAAUGAUAACUGGGCGGGUCACCCCUGGGCCGGGCAGGGCCAGGAGUAGGAGUCUCAAUGUGGACCAGCAAGGACAAAGAGCAGACAUGCCAUCAAUUCAACGAAGUUCCUCCCCACUGCCAAAAGGGGAGCCCAUUCAGCCUGUGUCCCCAGUAAUCCGCUCCAGUCCGGAUCACAUCCGUCAGACGGCCUUCCUGUCCACCCAACUAUGCAACUUCUACCCUUAUCAACUAGAUUUUGUCCAGAUAUUCCCUGGCAUGGUCAUAGUUCUGCUAAGUGAGAUACCCAGAGCCAACCAUGCUAGUAGUUUAUGCCAGUUGCUAAGGUUACUGACUGACCUCUUGUCAGGCCAGAAAUCUCAAGUUCAGAGGGUUCAAGGACAUGUUCUGUAUGACCUAAUUAACACCCUUCUCGUCAAACUGGCAACAGCCAUGAAAAAAGCUAAGGGCAACAUUGAGAGAAUUUUAGAAGACAUACGGAAGAGAUGGGAUAAUGCCGACUUCAAAUCUUCACUGCUGUCUUAUCUAGAGCAAGGGGCAGGGACAGAGAUCUCACCUGGUGCAGAGAGAUCUUUGACUGGCCUCCAUAGGAAGGUGAAGGAGUUAUUCCUUCAUCUGUACCUUUAUCCUUAUGACAUUCCACCAGCUGUCAGUCAGGCCAUGACCUCAAUAUGUGAAAAGGCCAAGGUCAAAUUGUUUGACUACAAGGACUACCUGUCUGUGAAGUCACAAAGAAAUAUUGUGAUGACCUCCUUCAGAUACCUUGAUGCCUUUCCUGGACUGGUUCACUUUAUUUACAUAGACAGGAGAACCAAUCAAUUGACAGCUCCCUCCCUCAACAUCACUGAUGAGGGAGGAAAUCAUGAUGCCACCCAGUUUUUAAAAGACAAAAUUUGGAAUAUGACAUGUUGGAUGUAUGGAAAACUCGCUGAAGGAGUUACUGUGGCGACCGCUAGGGAAGGAGAUUACCAUUACUCAUAUUUCAUGUGGUUCACAGACUACCAGGGAGCGCCAAAACAAAUCCAAGAGGCGUACCAGGAGGGGGACGUCAGCAUUCCGCCAGGCAUCUUGUCCGGACAGUUUUACAGCUCACUGAAGAGACAUUGUUUUCCAAACUGUCUUCCCGGUUCUGUGAAUUGUUAUGAGCUAAUCAUGAUGCAUGUAGGACUGGUCAAUGUGCAAUAUAUUUUUACUCACCGACAGAUGCUGGCCAAACAAUUCUUUGAAGCAUCUGGAGACACACAAAUGAAUUUGGUGCUGUAGUUCAUGUGUUUGUAUUUAUGUAAAUUUAAUUAUACUUUUUCCGGAA
rnacentral:sRNA from 1 species